rnacentral:lncRNA from 1 species
GGUUGGUAGCCAAGGGAGGUUGAUGUAUUGACAAUAUUAUGAGAGUCGACAGGGAGGGUCAAUUGAUGUCUGAUUAGUAAAAUUAAAUGGAUCUAGCCACCAAACCUGCUGGUUGAUCAUGAUCUAGCUUAAUGCGGAUCAACUUAGAUGUGAAGCCCCUAUGCCUAGUGGAUAAAGGCUAAUAAAUCCCACCUCCCAAUGGACAUUUAUCUUUUGGAAAUUUGGUUAGGAGCUAUGGUCCUAACACCCUCAUCAGCCGACUCCUGCAAGCCAGGCUAACGGAUUGACAGUACGUCUGACUGGCC